UGGGGUAUCGCCAAGCGGUAAGGCACCGGUUUUUGAUUACCGGCAUUCCCUGGUUCGAAUCCAGGUACCCCAGCCA
rnacentral:tRNA from 1 species